GAUGAACGCUGGCGGCGCUUCUUAACACAUGCAAGUCGAGCGAAGCACUUUUGCGGAUUUCUUCGGAUUGAAGCAACUGUGACUGAGCGGCGGACGGGUGAGUAACGCGUGGGUAACCUGCCUCAUACAGGGGGAUAACAGUUGGAAACGGCUGCUAAUACCGCAUAAGCGCACAGUACCGCAUGGUACGGUGUGAAAAACUCCGGUGGUAUGAGAUGGACCCGCGUCUGAUUAGGUAGUUGGUGGGGUAACGGCCUACCAAGCCGACGAUCAGUAGCCGACCUGAGAGGGUGACCGGCCACAUUGGGACUGAGACACGGCCCAAACUCCUACGGGAGGCAGCAGUGGGGAAUAUUGCACAAUGGGGGAAACUCUGAUGCAGCGACGCCGCGUGAGCGAUGAAGUAUUUCGGUAUGUAAAGCUCUAUCAGCAGGGAAGAAAAUGACGGUACCUGACUAAGAAGCCCCGGCUAACUACGUGCCAGCAGCCGCGGUAAUACGUAGGGGGCAAGCGUUAUCCGGAUUUACUGGGUGUAAAGGGAGCGUAGACGGCAUGGCAAGCCAGAUGUGAAAGCCCGGGGCUCAACCCCGGGACUGCAUUUGGAACUGUCAGGCUAGAGUGUCGGAGAGGAAAGCGGAAUUCCUAGUGUAGCGGUGAAAUGCGUAGAUAUUAGGAAGAACACCAGUGGCGAAGGCGGCUUUCUGGACGAUGACUGACGUUGAGGCUCGAAAGCGUGNGGAGCANACAGG
rnacentral:rRNA from 1 species